GGUAAGUUAAUGAUUUUAUAUUUACAUGGAGAGGUAUAAACUGUAUACAUUGACAUGCUGUGGAAAAUAAAAGUGAGUUUAACAAGAGAAAAUGUGGUUCCUGCGGCUACUUGAGGGGAGACAUAACCUGUAUUUGAGAUCAUCCAUGUUUUGACGAAUAUGAUGAAGAGUCGCAGUUUAUUAUUAUUAAUAAAAAUCACGUUGUAACUAUUGAGAAAAAUGAUACAAAUAAUUUUGGAAACGAAAAGAAGAAUAAAUGGAAUAAUGAAUGGGAUGAAAUGCUUAUUAGAGAGGUUUCGCAGAGACCUGCUCUUUAUAAUUAUAGGUUGCCAUUAAAAGAACGCACUACUUUGAAGACAAACGAUUUGUGGCAAGAAGUUUAUAAUUAUCUACAAGUUUCUUAUAUUAAAUGGAUACGAAGUCGGUGGGCAGCUCUAAAAAUGAAGUACAUGAAAGCAAAAGUAGGAGAAAGAGCCUACAGAUGGAGUGGUUCCGAUGCACCAAAAAAGAAAAAAACGUGAUUUUGAACGUUUUGAAAUGAUGAAAUUUUUCGAUGAUUUAUCAAAACCUGUAAGAACAAUAAGUAGCUUAUCAUCGAAUUUUGGAGAUAAUCAGGAAAACGAAGAAGAUCAAGAGGAAGUUAAUAGUGUUCAGUGCAUCUUGCGUGCACAUUGCCUGUAGCCGAAAUUCAAUGGGAUGAA